GCUCGAUCCCAUGAACCGUGAGAUCAUGAUCUAAACCGAAAUCAAGAGUCAGACACUUAACCAACUGAGCCACUCAGGCACCCCUGUCAAACACCCGAAAACUUAAAAAAAAAUUCUUAAAGUUCUGUUCUAAAUGAGGACAAUAAUUAACAGCAAAACAAUUUCCCAAUCUUGUUACCUGAUGAUGACCUUUUGAGGGCGCUGCUCCAGCAGUGAAUUUUGAGCAUAUUAUCUUUCUUGUAACUUUAUAAUUUUGGAGUUCAUUUGCACAGGAAUAUUUUCCAUCUGUGGAUAUAUCUGCACACACUUGCUGGAGCCGAUGGAAAACUUCAAAGAACUUCUAAGAAACAAUGGUUUUCAGAGAGCCCUGCAAAGUCAGAGCUCUGUUGAUGGUUUAUGUUAACCACUAUUCUUGCAAUGGGAUCGGAGCACCUGAUGAACGGCAUAGGUUCACUACAGAACAUAAGCACAAUUUGAAUUCUGUGAUUUCUGAUACACAUCUCCAACACAGCGUCCUUUUGUAAAUGCUACAGACAGGAGUGUGGCCAUUUUCAUGCAGACAGUGCUGGCAAGUGGGAGUUAUGACCUCCUCUGGCUGGUCAGGUCCAAGCCACCAAGUGUCCUGCUAGUCUGGAGACAUGAGUCAUUCAUUCAGUAUUCAGAGAAGUGCCUCUCAUUUCUGGGGAAUUAUUUACAUCCACAUUGUGUUUAAACCAAUUAAAAUAAUCCAAGGUAAAAAAAAUAGUGUAGAUAAUGUAAGAAGAAUUACUUCAGGCUUAGAAUCAGUGGAAAACAAAAACAUACAAAAACAAACUGCAAAAAUAUAUCAGUAUUAGCUACACUUAUUUAGAUUGAGACUAUUUCUCAAAUCUUUAAUGGCUAGACUGGCCAGAGGUUCAUAAGUGACUUGUAGGGCUGAGUGGGUACCCAUGUCAACAAAGAUCGGGGGACAUAGUUGAUCUUAAGGCAGCUAUGGGCUAAAGGGAGGAAGGCUUGGAGUGGUUCUUAAGCUAUUAGGUUAGUUUUCAGAGAGAUGAAAGAAUAUUUACCUUUCAUGAUUUAGAUAUUGCCUAAGUCCUCCUUAUGCUCACUUACUUGAGUAGUUAAAAAUAUAAAACUGUAGGUGAUACCAGAUUUCAAAGUAACAGAGAAGCAGUAUUUAUUAUGUAUUUACAUGCAGGUACAGAGCUCCUUUUCAAAUGGCCUGACUCUGUUGGGCAUGUUUGUUAUUUGCUGUUAUGAUUAUUGUAUGCUUGGUUUUGUACAUAAUAAAACAGAACACGUGUAAAAAAUGCAUAUAUAUUUCAUAUAUAUAUACAUAUUUCAUAUGAAUUUCAUAUUUCACAUGCUCAGUGGGACUCUUGACCAAAGAAGUUAUUUAACAGGCAAAUCUUCCUCUUCCUAAUACAGAUUGCUCACAGCAUAAUUUGGAUAUGUCGUCAGAUUAAAAGACUCCUUCCCCAUCAUGGGUGAUGAUGAAGGGAGGACAAGAGUACACAGAAAGAACACCCUGUCCUGCCACACUCCAUGUCAUCCUCUGCCAGAGUGUGGGAGAGCUGGCACUGAGAGCCAGAGCUGGAGAAGCUGGGUCUGCCUCCUUAUCCCCUCUCCCCCAACCUCUUCUGGGAACCAGUGUCUGUAAACUCCCAGAGCUUGGAAAGGAUUAGCAAGCAUC